GUGUUCGUAGAGAGGAUAGACGGUUGCCAUCUCCCCCGGCAGGGAUGAGAACAGCCUUCGGGUGUUUACCAUUUACGACACAUCCAGCCAGACAAAACACAUGUAUCAAGACUAGUGUUAGACAUCUUGAAUAUUUAU
rfam:Solanum tuberosum cultivar DM 1-3 516 R44 scf00189_21, whole genome shotgun sequence.